CCUACGGGUGGCAGCAGUGAGGAAUAUUGGUCAAUGGACGAGAGUCUGAACCAGCCAAGUAGCGUGAAGGAUGACUGCCCUAUGGGUUGUAAACUUCUUUUAUAUGGGAAUAAAAUGUUCCACGUGUGGGAUUUUGUAUGUACCAUAUGAAUAAGGAUCGGCUAACUCCGUGCCAGCAGCCGCGGUAAUACGGAGGAUCCGAGCGUUAUCCGGAUUUAUUGGGUUUAAGGGGAGCGUAGGUGGAUUGUUAAGUCAGUUGUGAAAGUUUGCGGCUCAACCGUAAAAUUGCAGUUGAAACUGGCAGUCUUGAGUACAGUAGAGGUGGACGGAAUUCGUGGUGUAGCGGUGAAAUGCUUAGAUAUCACGAAGAACUCCGAUUGCGAAGGCAGUUCACUGGACUGCAACUGACACUGAGGCUCGAAAGUGUGGGUAUCAAACAGGAUUAGAUACCCCUGUAGUC
rnacentral:rRNA from 1 species